CACGUAGGGGGCGAGCGUUGUCCGGAUUUAUUGGGCGUAAAGAGCUCGUAGGCGGCUAAGUAAGUCGGGUGUGAAAACUCCAGGCUCAACCUGGAGACGCCACCUGAUACUGCUUUGGCUAGAGUCCGGUAGGGGAGCAUGGAAUUCCUGGUGUAGCGGUGAAAUGCGUAGAUAUCGAGAGGAACACCUGCGGCGAAGGCGGGUAGCUGGGCCGACACUGACGCUGAUGCGCGAAAGCCAGGGGAGCGAACGGG
rnacentral:rRNA from 1 species